rnacentral:snoRNA from 1 species
GACCUCUCAGGGUCACACGUGGAGCGUUUCCAGUACUCUACCAGCCUCGGCUACGGAAGGGAGAGUCAAGCAGAGGCCUACACAUUCCAUUCCUAGCUUGGACAGUGGCUAGCAAGUGGAAAGCAAUCUGCUACAAGU